GAUGAAGAACGUAGUGAAAUGCGAUAAGUAAUGUGAAUUGCAGAAUUCAGUGAAUCAUCGAAUCUUUGAACGCUCAUUGCGCCCCCUGGUAUUCCGGGGGGCAUGCCUGUCCGAGCGUCAUUACAACCCUCAAGCUCAGCUUGGUGUUGGGCCCCGCCGCCCCGGCGGGCCCUAAAGUCAGUGGCGGUGCCGUCCGGCUCCGAGCGUAGUAAUUCUUCUCGCUCUGGAGGUCCGGUCGUGUGCUCGCCAGCAACCCCCAAUUUUUUUCAGGUUGACCUCGGAUCAGGUAGGGAUACCCGCUGAACUUAAGCAUAUCAAUAAGCGGAGGA
rnacentral:misc_RNA from 1 species